rnacentral:rRNA from 1 species
AUUCCAGCUCCAAUAGCGUAUGUUAAUGUUGUUGCAGUUAAAAAGCUCGUAGUUGGAUUUCUGGUUGGACCGCGAUGCCGGACUCGCAAGGGUUCGUGAUUGUUGUGGUUUCCUUCCAUCCUCAGGUUUGCGCGUGCUGGCCUUAACUGGUCGGUGGGUGUGGUCCUGUCGUUUACUGUGAACAAAUUAGAGUGUUCAAAGCAAGGUGUACUUGAAUACAUUAGCAUGGAAUAAUAAGAUAGGACUUUGGUGGUUCUUUUUGAUAUUUUGUUGGUUUGCACGCCAAAGUAAUGAUUAAUAGGAGCAGUUGGGGGUAUUCGUAUUCAAUUGUCAGAGGUGAAAUUCUUGGAUUUAUAGAAGACGAACUACUGCGAAAGCAUUUACCAAGGAUGUUUUCAUCA